ACGGUCAUUCCAAAUUGAAAACACCGGUUCUCGUCCGAUCACCAAAGUUAAGCUAUGUCGGGCCCGGUCAGUACUUGAGAGGGUGAUCUAUCUGAGUCAAAUAAUCCUAUCCUACAGCCUCAAAGUAGCGGGAGGGUGUAAACAGGUAACACAGGACGUCGCGAGUUUAACUCCUGGUAGGGCC